UACGGAAGGCAGCAGUGGGGAAUAUUGCACAAUGGGCGCAAGCCUGAUGCAGCCAUGCCGCGUGUAUGAAGAAGGCCUUCGGGUUGUAAAGUACUUUCAGCGGGGAGGAAGGCGAUGCGGUUAAUAACCGCGUCGAUUGACGUUACCCGCAGAAGAAGCACCGGCUAACUCCGUGCCAGCAGCCGCGGUAAUACGGAGGGUGCAAGCGUUAAUCGGAAUUACUGGGCGUAAAGCGCACGCAGGCGGUCUGUUUAAGUCAGAUGUGAAAUCCCCCGGGCUUAACCUGGGAACUGCAUUUUGAAACUGGCAGGCUUGAGUCUUGUAGAGGGGGUAGAAUUCCAGGUGUAGCGGUGAAAUGCGUAGAGAUCUGGAGGAAUACCGGUGGCGAAGGCGGCCCCUGGGACAAAGCUGACGCUCAGGGUGCGAAAGCGUGGGGAGCAAACGAGGAUUAGGAUACC
rnacentral:rRNA from 1 species